rfam:Pongo abelii chromosome 4.
UCUCAAGGAUGAGCAAAGAAAGAUUUUUUAGAUUCUGGAGAAACUAUCUUCUUUGCUCAUCCUUGAGAA